CACGGGUUGGCCGCCGCCAGGCUGCUCGCAUGCAUGGAGACCUGAACAUGCAACUCCCGCAUAGUCCCUGAUGGUGGUUGCCUCAAGUUAAAAGAUCGGUUUACACCAAAUCCAUUUGUUGCCUCGGGUUGUUUUAGAUUGGUUUACCAAUCCAGUCGUGGCAUGUAAUAAAUAUUUGAUAGGCAGAUCAACCAGUGCAUGGUUUGGAUUUGAAUCGCUCC